AAUAUGGAAUACGGGGGCUUGAGAGAAUCAGGCUGAGAUUGCAGCUAUAUCCGCUGUUGACCGUUAAUCUGAACUGGGUAAUGCCAGCGUAGAGAAUAUCCGACCCUGUUUC
rnacentral:ncRNA from 2 species